UUUCUGGAUCAUUACUGACGCUGAGGAACGAAAGCAUGGGUAGCGAAGAGGAUUAGAUACCCUCGUAGUCCAUGCCGUAAACGAUGUGUGUUAGACGUUGGAAAUUUAUUUUCAGUGUCGCAGUGAAAGCGAUAAACACACCGCCUGGGGAGUACGACCGCAAGGUUAAAACUCAAAUGAAUUGACGGGGACCCGCACAAGUAGUGGAGCAUGUGGUUUAAUUCGAAGAUACGCGCAGAACCUUACCAACACUUGACAUGUUCGUCGCGACUUUAAGAGAUUAAAGUUUUCGGUUCGGCCGGACGAAACACAGGUGCUGCAUGGCUGUCGUCAGCUCGUGUCGUGAGAUGUUGGGUUAAGUCCCGCAACGAGCGCAACCCUCACUUUUAGUUGCCAUCAUUUAGUUGGGCACUCUGAAAGAACUGCCAGUGAUAAGCUGGAGGAAGGUGGGGAUGACGUCAAGUCCUCAUGGCCCUUACGUGUUGGGCUACACACGUGCUACAAUGGCAUCUACAAUAGGAAGCAAAAUGGCAACAUUGAGCAAAUCCUAAAAAGAUGCCUCAGUUCGGAUUGCACUCUGCAACUCGAGUGCAUGAAGCUGGAAUUACUAGUAAUCGCGGAUCAGCGCGCCGCGGUGAAUACGUUCCCGGGUCUUGUACACACCGCCCGUCACACCAUGGGAGUUGGUUCUACCUUAAGGCAAAGUUUAAAACCUUUGACCACGGUAUAGUCAGCGACUGGGGUGAAGUCGUAACAAGGUAGCCGUAGGGGAACCUGCGGCUG
rnacentral:rRNA from 1 species